ACUUGGCCAACACAGCUGCCUCUACCACCUCGCGUGCCCGGUUCGUGGGCUUUCAGCUCUGAGGAAGAAACCACCAUUCAAGUUGGAGUGCGGUUAACAUCAAAAGGAGAACGGUGAGAAUGGAGUCUCCCCAAAAUUACUCUGAGCAUCACAGCUGCGUUAGAACAACGGUCAGCAUGCAUACAAAAGGACCUAAACCACAUUCUCCUCGUCCCGGCCGGCCGUCACCCUAGAGCAAGCACAGUUCUUCCUUCAGCUCCUCUCCUGCUCACCAUGGCUCAGCUGAAAUCAUUGCCUAUGAGAUAACCACUCACGGUUUCCCAUCACCACAGUGUUCUCAUGGCCUGCCAAACGAGAACUUGCAGGCCUAGCAUGUAAAGGGACCAGGGAAGGAGGCAGAGUGGGGCCUGCUGUUGAGGCUGGCUGCUUCUGUGUUCUCUGCCUGUGCCAGGCUGCGUAUGGUCUUCACUUGCCGUCUUUGAACUGAGAGAACCUCAGCUUUACCAAGCAUGUCCUGAAGAUGAAGAUACUCUCAGCCUAACGUCUCCAAGCAAAUAUUGAUUCAGCAGUAUCCCCAGGCAAAGCCACACCAUAUAUCAGUGAACAGAGAAACAACUGCCCUUCUCCGGGCCCCUGUCUGAGAAGCUGGAGCAUCAGCCCUGGAGCUCUCCGGAGCAGUUUCCUUGCUCACUGUCCCCAGCUGAACACAGGUUGGUCAGAUCUACUCCCGUUCCCACUCUGCCCCCAUCUCUCCCCUCUGUGCUUGCCAAGCAGUAAGUAGACUGCUCAUAUUUGUGGAAUGAGUAGUGUGUUGGUGUCCCCAGUAGCAGACCUGGCAAUGAGACUUCAUGUGCCAUAUGAAGGGAGUGUUCCAGGGGACAAAAAUAAGGGAAUAGAGAUAGGACAAGGGUGGGUGAGGGGGCAGAGCACUGGAGUUGGGCUGUCCCCCUCACCUCCACUCCUAAACGUCAGACUGCAGGGUUCUUCAAGGAACACAGAAACUCAGGCAUGUGUGCCGAAGCAAUGGCAGGAAGCAAUGAGGACCUGGGUGGGGUGCCUGUGUCUGUCAGUACAACUGUCUGGCUUUCUACUGCUGUGAUGAAAUACUGUGACCAAAAGCCACUUGGGUAGGAAAGAGGUUAUUUUACAUUACAGCUUCUAAGUCCACCACUGUGGGAAAGCCAGGGCAGAAACCUAGAGCAGAAACCAAGGAAACACUGCCUACUGGCCUGUUCUCAUGGUUUGCCCAUCCUGUUUUCUUAUACCAUCUAGGACCACUUACCCAUGGGUGCCACUGCCCACAGUGAGAUGGACCCUCCCACAUCAAUUAUCAGUCAAGAAAAUGUCCCACAGACCAAUUCUGUGGAGGGACAUUUUUUUUCAGUUGAUGGUCUCUUCCCAACUGAUUCUAGCUGUGUUGAGAUGACAUAAAUAGUAGCCAGCAUACCAUCCAAACAGACAGCAAAGCCAAGGCAGCCUUCAGGCCUGCUGUCACUUCAUCCUGUCCUUCCUAGGACCAGAGGGGAUACUGCCUGCUCAGGAAAGCCAAGAGGAGCCUGCUUCUCCUGAAAUGUAAAAAGUACACUGUGCAUAUGGAAAGCAUUAUUGUGUUUCACUGUGCAUCGCCAGAUUCUUCUUGCAAAACAUUGAAGCUUAGCUCAUAAUUUGGUGAUAAAAUAUUGAUUAUUUAUCCACAGCCGCAUGCAGAGGUCCAAAGCACGUAAACAGGAUACCCACCCUGCAUUAUCUUAUAUUUUAAGUCAAUAUGAAGAUGGACAUUCUACCCCUGAGACCAAUUUCGAUCAAAUACUUUUGUCAAUAAAAAGAUACUAAUGUC
rnacentral:lncRNA from 1 species